GAGUUAAAUUACUCAUGUGUCUGCAUUUUUACAGAAUUGGGACUCAAGUAACCACAUUCAAAAGGACUGAAAUGGAGUUGAAGCACCAAUUGGUGACUUAAAUAUUUCUGUGCAAGGAGUGAAGAAAGAAGAAGAAAUCCUUCUGUGUGUAGUCCUUCUGCUGGAAAAGAACCAAAAGUGAGGUAUAAGAAAGAGGGCUUUAUUCCUGGAUCCAAGUCAGCCUGCUCACUCAGUGCUGACCAGAAGACCUGACACAGAUGGAGAAGGAAGCUCCUCCCAAGCAAGAGCUAAAGAGAAUCGCAUCUCACCUCCUGAUCUAGUCUGCUAGCCCUCUUGAAGUCGCUUAAAAGAUAUCAUUAAAGU